rnacentral:tRNA from 1 species
GAGUGUAUAGCUUAAUUGGUAAAGCAGCAGACUUUUAAUUUGUUGAAUUUGGGUUCGAUUCCCAAUGCACUUA